UACGUAGGGUGCGAGCGUUGUCCGGAAUUACUGGGCGUAAAGCGCGCGUAGGCGGCUUUGUAAGUUAGAGGUGAAAGCCCGGGGCUCAACCCCGGAAUUGCCUUUAAGACUGCAUCGCUUGAAUCCGGGAGAGGUGAGUGGAAUUCCGAGUGUAGAGGUGAAAUUCGUAGAUAUUCGGAAGAAGACCAGUGGCGAAGGCGGCUCACUGGACCGGCAUUGACGCUGAGGUGCGAAAGCGUGGGGAGCAAACAGG
rnacentral:rRNA from 1 species